GACGAACGCUGGCGGCGUGCUUAACACAUGCAAGUCGAACGGAAAGGCCCUGCUUUUGUGGGGUGCUCGAGUGGCGAACGGGUGAGUAACACGUGAGUAACCUGCCCUUGACUUUGGGAUAACUUCAGGAAACUGGGGCUAAUACCGGAUAGGAGCUCCCGCUGCAUGGUGGGGGUUGGAAAGUUUCGGCGGUUGGGGAUGGACUCGCGGCUUAUCAGCUUGUUGGUGGGGCAGUGGCUUACCAAGGCUUUGACGGGUAGCCGGCCUGAGAGGGUGACCGGCCACAUUGGGACUGAGAUACGGCCCAGACUCCUACGGGAGGCAGCAGUGGGGAAUAUUGCACAAUGGGCGGAAGCCUGAUGCAGCAACGCCGCGUGCGGGAUGACGGCCUUCGGGUUGUAAACCGCUUUCGCCUGUGACGAAGCGUGAGUGACGGUAAUGGGUAAAGAAGCACCGGCUAACUACGUG
rnacentral:rRNA from 1 species